rnacentral:lncRNA from 1 species
GCUGCCUACCCGGGAGGGAACGAGGCCCGGCGCAAAGUUUGGUAUUUUAAAGCGAUAGGCAAGUCGAAGAAGCAGAGAUUUAUUUGGAGAGAAAGCUCCUGAAACCGACCCAGCCUUUGGAAGACCAGCCCGUCUGCUUAGAAGUUGGGACUGUUGAUUCCUUCAAUUAAUGAAAUGCAUUUGGUGUUUUUAAUCGUAUUUAUUUUACUUUAUGAGAAGGGGGAGACGCUAGGAGGGUGCAUUAAAAAAAAAAAAAAAUUCUGAAAAGCCUGCAAAAGGAUCGAAGAGUGGAAACUAUUGUUGGAGCGAGUUGGUUUUUACCUCAACAGCGCCACCUUUCGGCAAAGGUUUCUUCCUUGGAAAACAAUAUACAUCACUUAAUGAAAUCUUUGUUUGUUUUGCACAAGAGAUGUAAAAAAUCCAGAUGUUUUCUUCAGUGAGAAUUCCUGGGAAGGUGUACCAGCCUUCUUCUCUUUCUUCACCUGACAAAGACACCCAACACGGCCUCUCAGACCGGAGGGUCAGCUUUAUGAUUCGUUCUUCUGCUGUCAUCCUUUUUCAUCCUAUUCACAGCCUGUACCGGUGAGGGAAUUUGUCUCAAAAGCAUUCAGCCCUUCAAAGAUUUUUAUUGUGGUGAACUCAGAACUGAUAAACAGAAAAACAGAAACAGAAAAAGGGAACUGAUAUGGGGGCGAUCUUGAUGCGGGUUGUGUCUCUCAUGCAUGAUAACUCAGAGGACAGGCUCCUCGGUAGUGCGGUAGUGCUAACUCUGUGAAGUUUCUUCACCCUCCUUCCUAGCCCUGGAGGCGGGGUGAUUCAUAGCUCCUGUUCCAAAGGCAUUCAGCAGCCAUUCGACCUGGGAAAGAAACAGAGUUUUAGAAAAUACAGGCCAAAUGUAGAGACGCCUGUGAUUACCAGGAUGAGUAUGUCAGUGCAGGUGGCUUCUGAAUUUCUGUUUCUGAGUUUGUUUGGCUGAUGCCUAAGGAAAGGGGUCCCUUACAGCCCUGUUUUAUACCUUAGUUCUUGGUGGCAACGUGGGUGUUGCUGAUCUCUCUGAUGUGUUUUUCUGUGCACUGAAAACACCAGACAUGCUCCGUGACAUCCUCGGAGCAUCUCCCAUCAUAAUGGAGUGUUCCUAACCUGACAAAGAAUAGCAUAUUACCUCCCCAUCUACUCAAAAUAAAAUUAUAGUAAAAUUUAUCGCCCUUCUGCUAAUAUUUUUUAUUUAGUAACUUUAUAACAGUGAUACAUACUCCUUAUUAAAUAUAAACAUUUGAACAGGAC